CACAAAUGAAUGACUCACAAACGACUCCCACUGAUUCCUCGCCUCUUCUCUAGCCAUACAUGCGUUGGGACAACAAAACAAAUACAUUACUGAUGUGAAAGAAGUUCAAUUACGAAUGUUUAGAGAAUGAUGGGCUUGAGAUACUGGAGAAAAAUGAAGAAAGAAAGAGAAUGGGCAAUUACCACUAGCCCAAGUACAACAUAACUUCCCAGAAUAACAUGUUCAUUUGUUGUGCUUGCUAGAAUUAAUACUAAUCCUUAUGAAACUCCAUUAACAAAUCAACAUAAGAAAGUAGACAAUGAUUAGGCAUCAUAUUCACACUGAUAAAACUUGUUCUCCAGGAAAAACACAGCUACAACUUGAUUUCCACCAAACUUCCUUCCAUUCAUCCCUGCUCGGGCUUUCGUAGCACCUUCAACAUCAGCAUACUCCAAGAACACCUUAAAAUAAAAAGAUUUUGUAGUCAGCCAAUACCCUCAAAACAUAAGAUCUCAAAAUAAUCACAAGGAGAAGUGCACCAAGGGAACCCACAAAAAAGAAAGAAAAAGCAAUGCAUAAUCACCUUCCCAACUCCUGGUGAAGCUUCGCCAUCUGGCUUUGGGCGAGGGAUAACAACGUUCACCAAUGUACCUGCAUUUAUCGCGUGAAAAGACACAAACUGAAAUUUUCCAAAUUAUCUUCUUUUUUUUUCUUUUAAGAAAUUAUCUCAAGAAAAGUAAGGGCAAUGGAGUCUUCUGUCUGUGUUAGGCUUGAUUCUUUUAGCAGAAUAAGGGACUACAAAAGGCUGUAAAACGGAUAUAUAAAAAAGAAAAUAAAGAAAACCAAUUAUCAUGAAGAAGCAUCAGAGGAAUGGGAGGGAAAAUAGAGGUUAACAAAGAAAAUAAAUGUUGAGUUAAGAGGUUUUUACCAAAUUUCCCGCCUUCCAUUCUCAUGUCUUCCAAAAUCUCUUCAUACUCCUCAUCAUCUUUGAGUUCAUCC
rnacentral:misc_RNA from 1 species